rnacentral:tRNA from 1 species
UGGGGAAUUAGCUCAGUCUGGUAGAGCGCCUGCUUUGCAAGCAGGAUGUCAGGAGUUCGAGUCUCCUAUUCUCCAU